rnacentral:tRNA from 1 species
GGCCCAUUAGCUCAAUUGGCAGAGCAGCUGACUCUUAAUCAGCGUGUUAUAGGUUCGAGUCCUAUAUGGGUCA